rnacentral:tRNA from 1 species
AAGGGAGACCUAAUUCGGGUAUAAGACGAAAAAAUAGUAGUCGAAACCAAGAAUCAAUCCCAAAAGGUCGGAACGAGGUAUGUGGCUUUCAAACUAGGUUCUGGGUUCAUAAAAGACCUGAAUCAGGAACAAGGGCUAUUAGCUCAGGUGGUUAGAGCGCACCCCUGAUAAGGGUGAGGUCCCUGGUUCGAGUCCAGGAUGGCCCACCUGCACAGGUGGCAAAAACAAAGAAAAGAAGCGAGGAAUCAGCACCUUAUCUUACUUAUAUAGUAAGAGAGAAUGCCGGCUCUGAGUACAGAGUCCAGAGGAACCUUGAAAACUGCAUAGAGCUAGGUGAAAAAGCCAAAAAAGAAGACCGCAA